GAUGAACGCUGGCGGCGUGCCUAAUACAUGCAAGUCGAGCGGACGGACGAGAAGCUUGCUUCUCUGAUGUUAGCGGCGGACGGGUGAGUAACACGUGGAUAACCUACCUAUAAGACUGGGAGAACUUCGGGAAACCGGAGCUAAUACCGGAUAAUAUUUUGAACCGCAUGGUUCAAAAGUGAAAGACGGUCUUGCUGUCACUUAUAGAUGGAUCCGCGCUGCAUUAGCUAGUUGGUAAGGUAACGGCCUACCAAGGCAACGAUGCAUAGCCGACCUGAGAGGGUGAUCGGCCACACUGGAACUGAGACACGGUCCAGACUCCUACGGGAGGCAGCAGUAGGGAAUCUUGCGCAAUGGGCGAAAGCCUGACGCAGCCACGCCGCGUGAGUGAAGAAGGUCUUCGGAUCGUAAAACUCUGUUAUUAGGGAAGAACAGAUGUGUAAGUAACUGUGCACAUCUUGACGGUACCUAAUCAGAAAGCCACGGCUAACUACGUG
rnacentral:rRNA from 1 species